rnacentral:rRNA from 1 species
GAUGAACGCGGGCGGAAGGAGGAAGAGAGGAAAGUCGGAAAGGAAGUGGUGUUUCCAGGUGGGUACGGUUGAGUAGCGCGUAAGAACCUGCCCUUGGGAGGGGAACAACAACUGGAAACGGUUGCUAACAACCCGUAGGCUGAGGAGCCACAGGAGGAAUCCGCCCGAGGAGGGGCUUGCGUCUGCGUAGUUAGUUGGUGAGGUAAUAGCUUACCAAGGCGAUGAGCCGUAGGUGGUCCGAGAGGAUCAUCAGCCAAACUGCGCAGGAGACACGGACCAGAGUCCUACGGGAGGCAGCAGUGGGGAAUUUUCCGCAAUGGGCGAAAGCCUGACGGAGCAAUGCCGCGUGGAUCUCCCUUCACCACGGGUCGUGAACUUCUUUACUCGGACAAGAAACAAUGACGGUAUCUGCGGACUAAGCAUCGGCUCCCUCUGUC